CCACGUACAAGUUUUAGUGGCCAACCCUAAAUCCCAGUAUUGACUGCGGGGCAGAGCGGGCAGCCAGCCACCCGAGGGUGAGGUCACGUCGGAACAGACCCGAAUUCCGGACCUGGACUUAUUUGCUUUCCAUUCGGGAACCCCACUGUCAUCGCGCCCUUCACAACACCGCUCCCAGCAAACCACGGGGCUUUACAAUGACAGGUCUCUGCUCGUGGGAAAGGAUUUCUCUUUUCAGUACCUCACCACCAGAGGCAGUGCCCUAGAAAGGCGCGUCGGCGCCUAUUUGUUUCCUCAGCACAGCUGAGAAGGGAAAGCGCAGGACCAAAGCGAAGGAGCGCUCCGUUCCCGCGGACAAUUGUGCCUAAUUGCUCGGGAGGAGGCCGCCGCGCUUUCCGCCUGAAGCCCCGUCGAACUCGGGGCCCCAGGCCCACCGCCAAGCGUGACACCCGCUCCACUCGUCGCCGAAGGAGGCGGCCACACUGCCGCAGACUCAGCCCGGACCUCGCCAGGUCUCGGGGGAACUGGGUUCCUCCCUCUGCACGGCGUCGGCGGUCACGUGGGGGCGGUCACGUGGGAGGGCAGUCACGUGCCCUGCGUAAAUCCGCGUCAGGCGGCGGCGCUGCUGCCUACCCCUAGCGGUUGCGUACGUUUCGCAUGUAGUGGCGUGGGUCGGGGACCCUGGUGGCCGCGCUGGGGACAGGGCGAACUCCGGGCCUGCCCCCUUCGUGGGGCCGCGCUGAUUGAUGCCCCUGCCGUGCAGACGCUGCGCGCUCCCGGUCGGGCCCCAGGUGCCCUGCUCCACGCAGGGCACAGGAUGGGUGGGGUCUCCAGCUUGUGCAGUUUGGAGCACCCUUUUUAAGAAUACGGAAUUAGAUACGAAGGUGAAUGUUGAUAGGAAUAAGUAACCACAACAAACUGCAAAUUAUACACAGCUGAUUAAUAUCACAAACUUUAAACACUUAAAACGUUUCACUAGGACUACCUUGGUGGCGCAGUGGUUAAGAAUCUACCCGCCAAGGCAGGGGACACGUGCUCGAGCCCUGCUUGGGGAAGAUCCCACAUGCUGCGGAGCAACUAAGCCUGUGCACCACAACUACUGAGCCUGAGCUCUAGAGCCUGUGAGUCACAACUACUGAGCCUGCGGACCACAACUACUGAAGCCUGAACACCUAGAGACCGUGCUCUACAAGAGAAGCCACUGCAAUGAGAAGCCCGUGCACCGCAACAAAGACAUGUGGGAUCUAGUUCCUUGACCAGGGUUGGAACCUGGGCCCCCUGCAUUGGAAGCGUGGAGUCUUAACCAAUGGACCACGAGGGAAGUCUCAAUUUUUUCUAAAUUUUUGAAUGCAGACCUUAAUUACUCCUUCAUAUGGGAAUGAUUUGGUAAUACUGUUUAUAUAUGGUAAAUAGAUAAUUCAGUCUUUUCUUUAGCAGGGUUAAUCAAAUUUUGCUUUUUAUUAUUAAUAGUUUAGAAAAGAUUGUCCAGAGUUGCGUUCUUUUGAUGAUGUUACAUACUUUUUUAGGGUUGCCAUCAGACUUGGCCAAACCUAUCCUGUAUGUCUGGAGGCAGGGACCCACCUCUAAUCCGUGGUGGCCUCACAGUGACUUGUUAGGAGCUUUGUGUCAUGUAUUUCAUGUCAGACCAGGAAGAAAUGGAAAACACUUUCCAUGUUUGCUUUCCUCAUCUUCACUAAUUGGAUCCCAUACGUUCUGUGUGUUUCUGACCUCCUUACAGAAGGAGCCUACUCUGUUUUUAUGUGAUUUGUGUGUGGCCCAAGUAAACAUGUUCUUGUGCUUUGUGCAGUCUUCAUGAUUUUUGACAGUUCUAAAGACAUCCACUGAUGUGAAUGUCUGAUGUAAGUGAUGUCUGUCUUGUUGAAAACUACACAAGCAAAACAAAUACAGGCAAUGUUAGUCUUGGAAUAGGCUAGUCAACAUCCUGUAGCAGUUUUCCUGUUAAAAAGUAACUUUCAAAUGUUUUAAGAAACAUCUUUUUUGUCCGUUGUACCUUGAUUCUUUGUAAAUGGAAUCAUAAUUUUGAACGAAUGAAUUUUUCAUUAAACAGGGUUGGGGGAAUUAGUGUUCAUUCUAACAGGUUUAGUGAAGUAAUCAAUGAAGUAAAAAAUCAGUGGGUGGGGCCACCUGGUGUGUCCUGCUGAGUGGACUGGUUGUGGUUUCCCUUUCUGUUACCAUCAUCUUCCUUCUGCUUUUUAUUCCUUCUGUUUUUUUUUGUUUGUUUGUUUUUUGCUUCCUGUUUAGGAGUGUUCUGACUCUCAUAAUACCUUUCAUCUCUGUGUUGUCAUUUUCAUUACCCAUAUUUUCUUAGCUAUCAUGAUUCUUUCCCUUCAUGAUUUUGACCAAUACCGUUUUUAGUUUCCAUUGUGUUACAUGUGUUUUGAUAUUUUGAAGUUUCUACCAGACUUUUUCUUUUGUUUUUUUUUCCCCUCCCUUCCAGUAAACUACUUCCCUCUGUUUGAAUUUUGAUAUGAUCGGUAAUUCUUUAAAAGUAUACAAAGUUAAUCUGAAUUUAAGGCAAGUACAAGUGCAACUCAGAUGCAUUUUUUAUUGCCCCUACGUGUACUGAGCUCCAUGACUAUGAAAUAAAAUAACUGUACACCACAUACAAUGAUUUACAGGUGACUGUGUGAAGGAGUUCUAUCAUAGGAAAACACAUUUCUUCAGGCCCUUUUGCUGUGUCAUAUGAAGGUUGAAAUGAGUUCAUACUGACGUUUCCAGCUCUAGUCCAGAACCACGUGGUUUCCUCCAGCCUUUCCUUGCUUCUCUGUAACUCACUCUCCAACAUGAGAAAUCUUCUUUGCCCACUUUUAAAAAUUGUGGUACUUGAUUUGUUAGAGGCAAGAUCCCUGUCUUCUCAUCUUUUUAUUUCCUAAAUGAAGCUCAGUGUCUCCUACAGAUGUAGCUCUGCACCGAUGUUGAAUUGACAUGUUUAGCUUUGAUGUUUACCAUCAGAAUUCUCUACAAAAUAGUUGCCUCAGCUUCCAUGCUCAUGUUCUGACUGCCUGCUUCCUCUCUAUUUCUCAUCCCUAACCCAGGGCCAGCAGGAUGAGGCAAGGUUUUCAUCUGGGUCCUCUGUGCUUCACAUAAGCUCAGAGAAGUUUUUUGCAUGGGCCAAUGGACAGUAACUGAUUGGAAUAAUCAUUCACUCAUUAUGUCACUUUCCCAAACUUACUCUGCAUCAGACCAGUGCCAAGCCUAAUCCAAUUCCAGACUCAGAGUCCUGUUGGGAUAACAUGUACGCAAUGACUGUCCCAGACUGCAAGCUGGGAACCAGGUGGGUACCAAGCGGCUUCGAGGGAGGAGCAGUUCUCACUGCAUGGCAGGUGGCAGGGGCGGCUGAUGGAGGUGCCAUGGGAGCCGGGUCUUGCAUUUGGGUGGCUGGGUGAGCAUGUGAGGGGAGGGGGACCCGGGGAAGGAGGCUGGCCAUGUGUGAGGGAAUGUGGGCUGCUGGUCCAGGUGAGGAGUGAUGAAUCAAGGCUGCCUCCCCUCCCUGUCCCGAUGAAGGUAGGGCCCGGCUCCCCUUUGCUCCCCGUGGGCCUGGGCAUCCAGCACUGGGCCCAGCAUGAAGCUGGAAAUAGGAAAUGUUUGAUGAGUGGACAAGCUACUGAAUGAAGGAAUGAAAGAGUGAAUGCAUGAAUGGGCGAUGAGUAGCCCAUGAGUCAAAGUUAGGCUGGAGGUUUAGAGCUCAGGAGAUGGGAGGACCAGAGAUGCCCAGACAAAUUCUGAGAAGCCACAGCCUGGGUUGGGUGGGGCUGGGGCUGGGGGCCCUGAGUUGAGGCAAUAAAAGUUCCUCUAUUCAGAAAUACCCUUUAGCUAUUGAAUCCUUGUCUGUCCUACUGUCUGUGUUUUGCACGUUUUCCAUGUGGGCUUUGGGGGACACUAACCUCAGCACAGAGAUCCAGAAAGGUCACCUGGAGGAGACUUGGCUGGAUGGCGAUGCCAAGGGCAACCGAAGAUGGGUCUGCAUGUGGCUGACCAUGGGACACCAGUCACUACAAGGGGCACACGCCUCACACCUUCAUCCCCCGCUCCCAGGCCAUUCCUGGUGUUCUUCUCAAACUUAGGUAAAUGUGGUCUGUGGUCCAGUGGUAAAGAAUCUGCCUUCCAAUGCAGGGGACGUGGGUUCGAUCCUUGGUCAGAGAACUAAGAUCCCACAUGCCGCAGGGCAACUAAGCCCACGUGCCACAACUACUGAGCUGUCGUUCCUCAACUAGAACCCGUGUGCCACAAGCUACAAAGCCCACAUGCCCUGGAGCCUGUGCGCCACAACUAAACUAGAGAAAAACCUGGACACCACAGCUAGAGAGAAGCCCGCACACCACAACCAAGAGCCUGCAUGCCUAAACGAAGAUCCUGAGUGCCACAACUAAGACCCGACGCAGCCAAAAAUAAAUAAAUAAAUAAUAAAUCUUUUAAAAAAAUGUGGCCUACAGCACAGAGGCACACAAGACAGCUGGAGCAGGGCCCCCCUGCCCCAGGGCACAUUCUGAGGGCUGCCUUUCUGGGAGCAUUGCCUUAACUCAGGAGUAAAUAGAACAGCUGGCACACAGCAUCUGGCAUUGAGUGAACAGGCAAGAAGAGUUACUGACUGGAGGAGGGAGAGGAGGUGGGAGAUGGUAGAGCAGAAGGAUCGUCAGCAAUUGGAGAUGGAGAGCAAGCUGCAAUUUCACUCACAUUGGUGGAAUGCACUUCGGAAUCUUUGAAAGUUUGCAACUUGAAGGUUCGUAUUUAGGGGACUUACUGUACACAUAGCCACAUAUGUAAUGGCUUCUGUGACGUGUGAAGAACUAUGUAGGGACACACCCAAGGACCCCCUUCCUGCCCCCAGGUGUACAGAGAGUGAGAACACGCCUCCCCCUCUUUCCAAAGCUCCAAAGGGAGGUCUUUGGAGAAGAGGUUUUGGUGGAGGAGGAUUAGAAACACACUUUCAGGUCCAGUUAAUAUCAGCAAAUUUAAGGGUAUUCUCAGUAUUUUCUUUUUAAAAUUGGUAUUAUAAGAUUUAUCUCUGAAGCUCUCAUUUUUUAAAAAAAAUUUAUUUUAUUUGGCUGGGUUGGGUCUUAGUUGUGGCACGUGGGAUCUUUGUUGCAGCGUGAAGACUUAGUUGUCCUGCAGCAUGUGGGAUCUUAGUUCUCUGACCAAGGAUCGAACCCACGUCCCCUGCAUUGGAAGGCAGAUUCUUAACCACUGGAUCACCAGGGAAGUCCCUGAAGCUCUCAUUUUUUUAGAAUGAAAUUCAACUAGGAAUGUGUGUAUUAUUCACCUAUAAAACUCACUUUUUCCAAAAAUUAGACAGGGUUUAAAACAUUUUACCAAUUUUUAACUUUUAAAUGACCUAAUUAUGUUUUCCAACCUUAAUUAAAAUGUAAUUUUAAAUUGCAAUGACAAAAGUGAGACAUGCUUUUUAUUGUUUCUUAUUAUGGAAAAGGGCAGAAUCCUAAGAAGUGGGAGUAGCUCAUAUGAGCAGCUGGGAGAGUGUUGUUCUGGGCCUUUCCUGGUGAACAGGUGAUAGAUCAGCCCUGACCAUGGGGCACACACCACAUCCCCAUUACCACACCUGGGCAGAUACCCCCUUCAUUUCCUUUUUUUAAAAAAUAUUUAUUUAUUUAUUCAUUCAUUCAUUCAUGCAUGCUGCACCAGGUCUUAGUUGCAGCAUGUGGGGUCUUGUUCCCGGACCAGGGAUCGAACCUGGGCCCCCUGUUGGGAGCGCGGAGUCUUACCCACCGGACCACGAGGGAAUUCCUUUUAAAAUAUAUAUAUAUAUAUAUAUGUUAUUUAUUUAUUUGGGCACCCCUUCAUUUCUUUCUUUAAUUUUAAAAUUUAUUUAUUUAUUUUAAUUAAUUUAAUUAAUUUAUUUUUGCCCGCAUUGGGUCUUCGUUGCUAUAUGCAGGCUUUCUCUAGUUGCGGUGAGUGGGGGCUACUCUUCGUUGUGGCGCACAGGCUCCUCAUUGCAGUGGCUUCUCUUGUUGCAGAUCCCCAGCUCUAGUCGCGUGGCCUUCAGUAGUCGCAGCUCAUGGGCUCAGUAGUUGUGGCUCACAGGCUCUAGAGCACAGGCUCAGUAGUUGUGGCGCACUGGCUUAGCUGCUUCACGACAUGUGGGAUCUUCCCGGAGCAGGACUCGAACCCGUGUCCCCCACAUUGGCAGGCGGAUUCUUAACCACUGCGCAACAGGGAAGCCCUCAUUUCAUUUUUUUGAAAUUAAUUUAUUAUUUAUUUAUUAAUUUGUGGCUGCGUUGGGUCUUCGUUGCUGCACGGGCUUUCUCUAGUUGCAUGGAGUAGGGGCUACUCUUCUCUAGUUGCGUAGAGCAGGGGCUACUCUUCAGUGCGGUGCGCGGUCUUCUUAUUGUGGUGGCUUCUCUUGUGUGGUUGUGGAGCACGGGCUCUAGGCGCACGGCUUCAGUAGUUGUGGAGCACAGACUUAGUUGCCCCAAGGCAUGUGGGAUCUUCCUGGGUGUCCCCUGCAUUGUCAGGCAGAUUCUUAACCACUGCGUCAGCAGGGAAGUCUUGGCACCUCUUCACUUCUUUAAUGUGUGGAUGUCCUAGUAAAUAUGCAGCUGGCUGCCACUGAUGUACAUUACAGUGCUGUGUAGAUUUCUGUUUUGAA